CCUACGGGGGGCAGCAGUCGAGAAUCAUUCACAAUGGGGGAAACCCUGAUGGUGCGACGCCGCGUGGGGGAAUGAAGGUCUUCGGAUUGUAAACCCCUGUCAUGUGGGAGCAAAUUAAAAAGAUAGUACCACAAGAGCAAGAGACAGCUAACUCUGGGCCAGCAGCCGCGGUAAUACGGAGGUCUCAAGCGUUGUUCGGAAUCACUGGGCGUAAAGCGUGCGUAGGCUGUUUGGUAAGUCGUGUGUGAAAGGCGCGGGCUCAACCCGCGGACGGCACAUGAGACUGCGUGACUAGAGUAAUGGAGGGGGAACCGGAAUUCCCGGUGUAGCAGUGAAAUGCGUAGAUAUCGAGAGGAACACUAGUGGCGAAGGCGGGUUCCUGGACAUUAACUGACGGUGAGGCGCGAAGGCCAGGGGAGCGAAAGGGAUUAGAUACCCGUGUAGUC
rnacentral:rRNA from 1 species